CCCCCCCCCCCCCCCCGCAACUGGUUCACAUUUGGACCAAUGGGAAGCCAGGAUUGAUGGAAAGUGAUACCCCCCCCUCCAACUGGUUCACGUUUGUACCAAUGGGAAGCCAGGAUAGAUCGAAAAAUAUAUCUCCCACCCCCCACUGCCAUACUGCACCGUGCAGCGUCGUCCUGUGACGUCACGCACGUUUCGACCAAUGGGAAGCCGCCAGGCUUUAUAGAAAGCGACAGCUUUUUCUUUGUUUCCCCUCCCUCCGAUUGGUUCUCAGGGGCUUUAUUUAAACAUUCGUGACAUGAUGAAAUUAGAUGCCACAUUCUUAUAGGAGCUGAUUAUCUCUGGAAUUCUUCGGUAAUUGCUUUCAUCGUGAAAGCGAACCACUCGCGACCACACUGAGAGCAUUUAAAGUAGCCACAAUGUCACUUAACCCCAAAUAACUCACGAUCCGCCGGGAUGUCGUCCACGUGCGUUCACGACGACGACGACGAUGAUUCUUUCCGAUCGUUGAGACCUGAAAGUAAAAAAUUUGAUUUCAAACCAAGCUUACAUUUUGACGAUGUCUCCCUUAAAAUCUAUUUUUUUUUGUCCAAAAACACAACUGCAUUGGCUGCAAAGUGAAUUGAGAACAUAUUCAACCGAAGAAAACACUUUAACAGUUUUGCGAGAGAUGGGGUUUAGUGAGGGGGAGGGGGGGGGCAUGCCUAAAUGUAAACGUGGAUUUCUGUUUAAUUCCACUUUAUCGCGUAGACCCGUUCUUUGCCCUGAAUUCGGCCAAAACAAUUUGAACAUUGAGGAGUUAAAGGAACGCAAGCUUGGGUGGGGUGGUAGGGAGAUAACGUGGCUUUGGCACUGCACCCGGUGUGGUACAUAUUUUUCAUGCUCAAAUUUGAUUACGGCAAAUUCCAUGAGAGCUCGAUAGCGCGAGGGAGCGAAAGCCGUUCUGGAAAAGAGUCGCCAUGUGUUGCACACCGCGGACGAGACAAAGUGCACUCGCACCAGCUUAAUAUAAUCGCAUGUGUAAUCAGAAUGAGAAUAUUUACUUAAACUGGAGGGAUCCGAUGAGCCAUGAAGCUCUUUUUUUUGUCAUGGAUGUCCAGUUAGGGCACCUGGGUCAGAACAAUAUUAAAAAAACGAGUGCUAAGCAUAGGAAAGGCAAACAAAUCACUUGACAAGAUAAAUAUACACGUAAAAAAAGAAACCGUUUUUUUUUUAUAUCACCAUGUAAAGCCCACUGAUGUAUUAACUUAUUUUUUCAGAAGCGACCUCGCCAGAAAUGAUAGCUCAACAAAGUGGCUUAAAUCACGUGGAAAUCUAUACCAGCAAAAUAAUCUCAAAACUCUAAACGCGUAGCUCGCUACAUCGAGAACGCUCGUAUUCUUUACAGAGGGGGGGUGGGGGGGGGCGAUGCUGAAUCCCGUCCCGUGUGCUGUCUGAGCCACAGGUCACGUGCCCAGAGAGAGAGAGAGAGGAGUCAAUUUGCUCGCUGAGCAACCCCAAACGUGUCCGUUGGGCGAUGAUAAAAUCGUAACUUCGCCCGCGCAGUCUCAUUGCCGUCGCACUCCGGGGUCGUUGACAGUGGGGAAGGGGCAGCAUAACUGGUUCUGUUGCGAGAGAGGACGACGCUUCGGCUUGUGCAGAGAAAUAAAAGGCAAAGGGAUGGAGCAGGGAGAAGCGGAAGGAAAAGACGAGCCAAGGGUGAAGAGACGAGGCGAUGGAGAGAGCGAGCGGGUCGAUGGUUCAAUCCGCACGCGCAGUGGUUCUCACGAUGCCCAUCUCCCUUUCAUCGGCGCCUUUUGUUCGAUUUGUACAGCGGAGGGCUGCGCAAAUAUUAAUUAGAAUUGGGAAACAAUUAAAUAAUUAAAAUAUAAAACAAUAAAAUUCUCACGACGUUUCGACUGCAACACAAGCAAUCAUCAUCAGGUGUGAAAACCACACCAAGUGGCCACUUUCAAAUUGGCCACUAUUUUUCAAACCACAGCAAGAAAAUUUGAAAAAAAGUAGCCACUUUUUUCAAAUUU